rnacentral:rRNA from 1 species
AUGGCGGCGAUGCCGGCGGCGGCGGCUUGCAGCUGGCGCAAAGAUAUUGGCCGCGAAGACAAGAUCUCGCUGGACAGUGGCUCUUCUUCUCACCGGCCAACGGCGACGACGACAGUGGCCGGCUUCGUUUCCGUCGCGCGACGACCAUACUCAAAAUCAAAUCAAUGGUUCGCUCAUGUAUCUCUUCUUUCGGCUUCCAGGUGGCUGGCAUGGCCUGCCGCGUCGCUAGUGGAUGAGCGUCAUGCGAGAGAACAGUGGCGCCCAAUUCUUCCCAAUCGAUGGUGGAGUCUCGUCCAAGUUUCCAACCGUAAACAGGUCUGA